rnacentral:lncRNA from 1 species
AGCAGAUUCGAGAAACCAGCGGGACUGGAACCUAGUACACUUCGGCAGUUGAGAAAUGACUUACCAGGACAAAUACUGCUUCUGGCUCGAUGGUGCUGCCCAUGAACAUCCGCCGGCUCUGAGAAACGAGCUGCACUGUCAGUGAGAAACCGUGGGCACUGAGAAACGAGCGGACUGCAACUGAUAACUGCCCACCCAGUGCCACUACGACAAAGUGCUGCUGGCACUACUCCCACCCUCCGUCCUCAAAUCAGUCCCCUCCCGCCUAAGAAGACCUUUAUUUUUCCUAGCGAAGUCAUACUGAGGGCCCCAUCAACCGAUCCCUUGCGAUGCGCAUGGGAAAAGGAGGCAGUAUAGGGACCGAGAAUCGGGCGGAUUGGGCUGGCCCUGGUAACAAAAGCCAUCCGGGUCGCCAACCGUCUUCCACUGCAAGAAACAAACCUUCCAGUGGCUGGGCUCCGCCCUUCUCCUUGGUCAGAGCCCUCCAGGCUCCUAAGGGCGAAGCCGACACCUCAUCCCUUUGGAACUUGAAGUUCUCAGUCCAAGACCUCCGUGGAGAGUGAAAGACUCAAUGCCUCCUGACCGAGGCUUCAGGCCUGCCCCGGCAGCUAGGUACCUCUCCAGGGGAUGGAACUCUGUGGGAACUGCUAUUUAAUUCUGAUGGUUAACUCUGUCAGAUGGCCUUGAUAUAUGGGAAUAAUCGUUGCAGGAGGGUAGGGGAAAUAAGAAUCGCAAGACUCUAGCACAGGACGUGUGGAUUGAUGGAAACCUGAAACUGCCAUUGAGCAGAAGGAAAACAUCCCUUUCCAGAACCUUUCUCGUUUUUCUAAAAAUCUGCACUUUUGGAAGUGAUCCCCCAAAGAGACCUCCAGACUCUACCAUGAGUGUCUCCAGCUGAACUCAUCGUGUCUAAUCCUCACCCUAGCUUAUCCUGUUCAAAUCAUUUCCAUCUUUUUCUGGAUGAACCUGGGCGGAUGUCAGACCAGAGAAGAGCACAGAAUGUACCAGAGAGGAAACCAGCCCUAACAACUCUGAGGCAAGAAGAGGCUUCAGGACUGGAUAUGGGACUUAGGUGACAGAAAGUCUCCUACCUCUUCAAAAGCACAAACAUACUUUAUUUCUGUUAAAGAAAAAAUGUAACACAGUUGUUAGGAUGGUAAAGCAGACUUCAUUCAGCAUUAUUGCCAUAGGUGUACUUUGCAGUAGAGGAUUGAGAUUGGGAUCAGCUCCUAAUACAAGGAAAAUAAGGGAUUUACAGCCAAAGACUGAGAGGUAGGGAUGGAACGUGGGGCAGGACAGGGGUUAGUGAAUGGAAAAUUACUAAAAGGAUACGUUAAUUUUUUCUAAAGUGACCUAACAGUAUUCUUGCUAUAGGCAGACCAGGGUGAUCAGAUAUCAAUUGGAGAAUAAGGAAUGUGGUCAGAUAUCGAGGGCGAAUCAGAUAUUGAAGAUAGGGGAUGCUGGCUAAAACUGGGCUCUUGAGGCAAUGUCCAAGGUCCAAGCAUAGGUGGGAAAGGGGUGAGGAGACUGUGUCUAGGGUUUGGUCAA